rnacentral:rRNA from 1 species
UUUAAUUCGAUGAUACGCGAGGAACCUUACCUGGGCUAGAAUGCUGGUGGACCGUGGGUGAAAGCUCACUUUGCAGCAAUACACCGCCAGUAAGGUGCUGCAUGGCUGUCGUCAGCUCGUGCCGUGAGGUGUUGGGUUAAGUCCCGCAACGAGCGCAACCCCCAUCACUAGUUGCCAUCAGGUAAUGCUGGGAACUCUAGUGAAACUGCCGUCGUAAGACGCGAGGAAGGAGGGGAUGAUGUCAAGUCAUCAUGGCCUUUAUGCCCAGGGCUACACACGUGCUACAAUGGAGAGGACAAAGGGCUGCCACUUAGUGAUAAGGAGCUAAUCCCAAAAACCUCUUCUCAGUUCAGAUUGGAGUCUGCAACUCGACUCCAUGAAGCUGGAAUCGCUAGUAAUCGUAUAUCAGCAAUGAUA